rnacentral:tRNA from 1 species
GGGCUCAUAGGUAAACGGUAUACCAUACCCUUCGCAUGGGUAAAUUCCGGGUUCGAUUCCCGGUGAGUCCACCA